UACGGAGGGGGCUAGCGUUGUUCGGAAUUACUGGGCGUAAAGCGCACGUAGGCGGCUUUGUAAGUUAGAGGUGAAAGCCCGGGGCUCAACUCCGGAAUUGCCUUUAAAACUGCAUCGCUAGAAUUGUGGAGAGGUAAGUGGAAUUCCGAGUGUAGAGGUGAAAUUCGUAGAUAUUCGGAAGAACACCAGUGGCGAAGGCGACUCACUGGCCCGUUACUGACGCUGGGGCGCGAAAGCGUGGGGAGCAAACAGG
rnacentral:rRNA from 1 species